CCUACGGGGGGCAGCAGUGGGGAAUAUUGCACAAUGGGGGAAACCCUGAUGCAGCGACGCCGCGUGAGUGAAGAAGUAUCUCGGUAUGUAAAGCUCUAUCAGCAGGAAAGAUAAUGACGGUACCUGACUAAGAAGCCCCGGCUAACUACGUGCCAGCAGCCGCGGUAAUACGUAGGGGGCAAGCGUUAUCCGGAUUUACUGGGUGUAAAGGGAGCGUAGACGGCAGCGCAAGUCUGGAGUGAAAUGCCGGGGCCCAACCCCGGAACUGCUUUGGAAACUGUGCGGCUCGAGUGCGGGAGAGGUAGGCGGAAUUCCUAGUGUAGCGGUGAAAUGCGUAGAUAUUAGGAGGAACACCAGUGGCGAAGGCGGCUUACUGGACCGUAACUGACGUUGAGGCUCGAAAGCGUGGGGAGCAAACAGGAUUAGAUACCCCUGUAGU
rnacentral:rRNA from 1 species